rnacentral:rRNA from 1 species
AACGUAGGGGACAAGCGUUAUCCGGAUUUACUGGGCGUAAAGCGCCCGUAGGCGGCCUGACAAGUUGGACGUGAAAGCUCCUGGCUUAACUGGGAGAGGCUGUUCAAAACUGUCAAGCUAGAGUCUGGAAGAGGAGAGCGGAAUUCCCGGUGUAGUGGUGGAAUGCGUAGAGAUCGGGAGGAACACCAGUGGCGAAAGCGGCUCUCUGGUCCAAAACUGACGCUGAGGGGCGAAAGCGUGGGGAGCGAACGGG